AACUUCAGAGUGAAUGCCCCGGUUAACCGCGAGGACCGCGGGGACGACCUCAAGUCCAUCAUCGCCCAUUAUAUCCACGGGGCACACACGUCCCACAUGUGGUAAAGACAGAGGCCAGCGAGCCGGUGACGGUGAGCGAAUCCCUCAAGUAUUAUCCUCAGUCCGGAUCUGGAGUCUGCAACUCGACUCCCUGAAGCCAGAAUCGCUAGUAUUCGCAGANCACCAUGCCGCGGUGAAUAUGUUCCCUCCCGUUGUACACACCGCCCGUCACACCAUGNGAG
rnacentral:rRNA from 1 species